UACGUAGGGGGCAAGCGUUGUCCGGAAUUACUGGGCGUAAAGGGUUCGUAGGUGGUUUGUUAAGUCAGACGUGAAAUCCCUCGGCUCAACCGGGGAACUGCGUCUGAGACUGAUGAGCUCGAGUGCAGGAGAGGAACGCGGAAUUCCAGGUGUAGCGGUGAAAUGCGUAGAUAUCUGGAGGAACACCGGUGGCGAAGGCGGCGUUCUGGACUGCAACUGACACUGAGGAACGAAAGCCAGGGGAGCAAACGGG
rnacentral:rRNA from 1 species